UGAGCAGGCACCCAGCGUGUACUUGUCGGUCUGUUCGCCGCACAUCCGCUUCACCUCGUCGCUGUCCCAGCCGUCUGGGUAGAUCAUGCAGCCCAGAAUCAGGCUUGUACCUGGAACAGGAGGCGAGACAGAUGGCUGCAGUGUUAAUAGACUGGGUUGAACUGGAUGGGAUCUCUCCCAAAGGCUUUUAGUUGAAGGAAACGCACAAGAUCAAGGAGACAGCAGGGUUCAGGACAUGGACCACCUACUGCUCCGAAUGAAAUGUUAAUUUUGGAUGGAUGGAGGGUCAUGAUUAUAUCACCACCUUUGACGUCUGAGGAACAUGCCAGUGAUUCGACCAAAGAACCGUUUCCAGGGCAACCGGCAAGCUUGAAAAGGGAGCAAGAGCAUUAAUGGGCAGCUGAGGUGACUCUGAACAUUACCAAAACAACACACAUUCCUUCUCUGCCUCGCUUUCCUUCUCUCUCCACGCAGGAGCUCGCGGCCUCUGAUCUGUGGCCUUUUUAGGAGAUGUUGAGUGUAAACGCCAAAGUGCACAACAACACAGCCUACUCCUCUCUGCCGUUUUUUCUCGGCGGAUUUAUAAGUGUGUCCAGAGGGACUCAGAGCCUCUCACAGCUCACACGUCCUAACUCCCCCCCCUGCAAAGUUUAUCAAAUAACAACCCUCUCUGCGCUGCCACACAACCUCCGGAGCCUUUUGAUGUUCUCUCCAGCUCAGAACUAAUUUGUAUUCAGCGUAUACCUCCGGUGUUUCGCUUUGAGUCCUCCCCACCAACAUGUUUCAAAGUGUUAACAUUGUUAGUCAUGUUUUCCACACAGCAAGGUGCACCUUCUCAUUUGCAGGUCAAUACAGCAUGUUGUAAUUAUUGAUGGAUGAUAUGUGCAAUUAGACUCUACCUUGGAGGUGAUCUGUGGAAGUAGAGAGCUUGUGGCUUCGCGCACAGAUUUUUGACCCUGGUUUCAGAAAGCUUUACAGCCCCCUUUACUCUGAUAUCCUUAAAUAAAAUCUUGCAUAGCCAUUUGCCUUUAGAAUAAUCUGUGGGUGUUUUUGUAAAUGUUUUUUCUCCUCAAAAUCGAGCAACAGUAAACAACAACAACAAUAAA